UAAUUAGCCAAUUAAUUGGCUAAUUAAAUAUGAAAGGAAAUGUUUUUGUGCUUUAUGGUGUUGAUUGGCUAAUAAAAGGGAAGAGAUGAUGGAAAAGGUAGAAAAAAUGUGAUGUAUUAGGUUUUGAAUGGGGUAGCCGGCCCUAUUCUAUUUUUUAGGUUUGAAUGGAUGUUUCAAAUUGAUAUUAAAGGAUGAUUUUAGGAGAUAUGGGAAGAAUAUAUUAUUUUAGAUAAAUAAUAUAUUAGGAAAAUUAAAUUUUGGAAAUAAUUACCUAAAAUAAGAUAAUUUGGAAUUGGUUACCUCUUCUGGAGCAUUUUUGAUUUGGUUGAGGAUGAUUACCCUCUACUUGCGCGUAGGAAUCCCGGUAUGCCUCAAGGGUAUUUUUUGUCCUCUUUCGUUCAAAAGUCCACGUGUCGCUUAGUGAAUAUUUUUGGCUCCACA
rnacentral:lncRNA from 1 species